AUUUAUAUAGUUUAUAAAACAUUACAUUUUCACUGUAAAGAAAAAUCAACAGAUUUUAUAAAUA
rnacentral:tRNA from 1 species